AAAAAUCGCAAAAAAAAAUUUCAAAAAAAAAAAUCAUAAAAUUUCCUUUAGUCCCGGUUGAUAACACCCAUGUGGACGGCCUUUAGUCCCGGUUCGUGUAAGAACCGGGACUAAAGGGGGGAGGCAUUAGUAACGACCCUUUAGUCCCGGUUCAAAAACCGGGACUAAAGGCCCUUACCAACCGGGACAAAAGCCCUCUUUUCUACUAGUGCAUGGUCCGUGAAGUUCCUGCAACAAGCUGUCUUUAGGGAAGCGGAGAUCAGCAGUGCAUUGGGUAGUGUUUCCUAUGUACUGAACGGAAACCCAAUUCCCCGCGAAGUCCCAAUUCUGCCCGUCUAGGAGCAGCAGGCUGAGAUAGCGCCUCAUGCCUUCACCUCAACAGCAGAUGGAAAAUAUCAGAGCACAUUCUCAGGCAGCAGCAUACAUGGUGGAGUUGACUGUUGUUGCAGCCUAGUGUAGUUUUCAGUUUAGUUUCUUUUAUUAAACUACUACAUGACUUGUUAUCUCAGCCUAGUGUGCUUGUUGAUUUAGUUUCUGUCUUUGAACUGCCAUGACUUAUUUGCAGCCUAGCGUAGUUGUCGAUUUAUUCUCUUUGUUGAAAUGUAAUCUGAUUUGCUGUGGUAGCUUAAUGAACUUGUGGAUUUAGUUUC